rnacentral:rRNA from 1 species
GAUGAACGCUGGCGGCGUGCCUAAUACAUGCAAGUCGAGCGAACAGACGAGGAGCUUGCUCCUCUGACGUUAGCGGCGGACGGGUGAGUAACACGUGGAUAACCUACCUAUAAGACUGGGAUAACUUCGGGAAACCGGAGCUAAUACCGGAUAAUAUAUUGAACCGCAUGGUUCAAUAGUUAAAGACGGUUUUGCUGUCACUUAUAGAUGGAUCCGCGCCGCAUUAGCUAGUUGGUAAGGUAACGGCUUACCAAGGCAACGAUGCGUAGCCGACCUGAGAGGGUGAUCGGCCACACUGAGACUGAGACACGGUCCAGACUCCUACGGGAGGCAGCAGUAGGGAAUCUUCCGCAAUGGGCGAAAGCCUGACGGAGCAACGCCGCGUGAGUGAUGAAGGUCUUCGGAUCGUAAAACUCUGUUAUUAGGGAAGAACAAAUGUGUAAGUAACUAUGCACGUCUUGACGGUACCUAAUCAGAAAGCCACGGCUAACUACGUG